GACGAACGCUGGCGGCGUGCUUAACACAUGCAAGUCGAACGCUGAAGCUCAGCUUUUGUUGGGUGGAUGAGUGGCGAACGGGAGAGUAACACGUGAGUAACCUGCCUCCUUCUUUGGGAUAACGCCCGGAAACGGGUGCUAAUACUGGAUAUUCACUGGUCUUCGCAUGGGGGUUGGUGGAAAGGGUUUUUCUGGUGGGGGAUGGGCUCGCGGCCUAUCAGCUUGUUGGUGGGGUGAUGGCCUACCAAGGCUUUGACGGGUAGCCGGCCUGAGAGGGUGACCGGUCACAUUGGGACUGAGAUACGGCCCAGACUCCUACGGGAGGCAGCAGUGGGGAAUAUUGCACAAUGGGCGCAAGCCUGAUGCAGCGACGCCGCGUGAGGGAUGGAGGCCUUCGGGUUGUGAACCUCUUUCGCUCAUGGUCAAGCCGCAACAAUGGUUGCGGUGAGGGUAGUGGGUAAAGAAGCGCCGGCUAACUACGUG
rnacentral:rRNA from 1 species